CAUCUUUUUGGAAAAAAAAACAUCAGUUCUCUUUGGGGAUAUCCAGCGAACUGGGUAUAACAUAAACACCCUGGUGCUGUCAGGCCAGGAAUGGGUACUGUCGUUAUAGUACUUGAACGCUCAGCUGCUCUGUCUCAGAUGCUCCCCAGCACAAAGAAAAAGUACCUGCCUUCCUGAUCCUUCCGGCCAUGGAAGCAGAUCUGGCCACAAGAUGUUCUGAAGUUUCAUCUCCUGCUUUCUGAGACUGCUACAAACUGCUUAAAACAGGACUAGCUGGACCUGGUUCAAACACUCGUGCUAUUUUGACGAUAUUUAUGGAUCAGAAGAAUAUGAUUUCCAUGGCAACUGCUCCAGGUUUUGAGCAAAUAUCAGCUUUGAAGAGAAAAGAGUAGCCUGACCUUGGAAAAAGGCUCUAAUCUAGUGUCUUCAUAGAGAUGAGGAAGCAGCUUUGACAAGUGGAAGUUAAGCCCUGGAUGGUCCCGGACUAUCUAGCCAUUGCUUAAUCUUCUUAAUAUGAAUUCAGGACUCAAGAAAAGAGGUAGCAGUUGAGGGGGCCAGAGACAGCUAUGAGCCAUACAGGGCCGUCUGAUAGAGCCACAUUUUGCAACAGGUGAGCAUUUGGUCUUGCAUUUAACGUGGGAGGAAACCAAAUCAUUUUUUGUCCGUUGGUGGAAAGAAAAUAAGAACAAAGAUCUACUUUUCACUACACUGUAGCUCAGGUCUUCAA